CUUUUGAAAAGAUUUUGCUCUGCUUUCUGCCCAAGGCUGCCACACUUUAAAUCCAAGGAUUUCUUUGUUGUGAAAAGGAUCCUUCGAAGACAUUUCCUUUCCAUCGGUGGGAAAAGGAACAGCACUAGAAAACUCGAAGAAGGAAGGAGUGAUGUGUUCCACAAAAGAAGCACCUUUUAAAGAAAGCAGAACUACUGCUCGAUUUCUGUUGCAUGAAUGCCUUUCCACCAAACAGAUUAAGAGCUAAACACCUGCCAUCCUGACAUGCAAAUAAUCUUCACUACAUCCAUCUAGAAUUUACAGUGCUGUUGGCAUGAAAGAGUAUUUAUGGGAAUAGCUGGCUUUACUGAAAUCCAAGGAGAUAGCAUUUCAAGCACAAGCAGUGUGUAUCAUGAGAAAAAUUGAAUACAAGAAGU